rnacentral:lncRNA from 1 species
CUGAUUUUCUACGAGCGCCCCGACAGAGCCGGCCCCAAGGUGUCCCUGUUCAGCACCAGCCCCACGGCCGACCCCGAGGGGCUGCAGGUGAGCGGGGUGGGCUGGGGCGGCCUGGCUGCCACCCCUGCCACCCCUGUGCCACCUCUGUGUCACCCCUGUGUCACCUCUGUGCCACCCCUGUGCCACCUCUGUGCCACCUCUGUGCCACUCCUGUGCCACCCCUGUGCCACCUCUGUGCCACUCCUGUGCCACCCCUGUGUCACCUCUGUGCCACCCCUGUGCCACCUCUGUGCCACUCCUGUGCCACCCCUGUAUCACCUCUGUGCCACCUCUGUGUCACCCCUGCCCCUGUGUCCCCAUGUCCCCGUGUCCCAGGCAGUGCUUUCACAGUCCCUGGGCGUGCUGGGCUGUGUGGGUCCCUGUGCCACCCCUGUCCCCAUGUCCCCGUGUCCCAUGUCCCAGGCGGUGCUGUCACAGUCCCAUGUCCCGUGUCCCGUGUCCCAGGCGGUGCUGUCACAGUCCCGUGUCCUGUGUCCCGUGUCCCAUGUCCCGUGUCCCAGGCGGUGCUGUCACAGUCCCAUGUCCUGUGUCCCAUGUCCCGUGUCCCAGGCGGUGCUGUCACAGUCCCAUGUCCCAUGUCCCGUGUCCCGUGUCCCGUGUCCCAGGCGGUGCUGUCACAGUCCCGUGUCCCGUGUCCCAGGCGGUGCUGUCACAGACCCAUGUCCCGUGUCCCAGGCGGUGCUGUCACAGUCCCAUGUCCCAUGUCCUGUGUCCCAUGUCCCGUGUCCCAUGUCCCGUGUCCCAGGCGGUGCUGUCACAGUCCCGUGUCCCAUGUCCCAGGCGGUGCUGUCACAGUCCCAUGUCCCAUGUCCCAUGUCCCGUGUCCCAGCCGGUGCUGUCACAGUCCCAUGUCCCGUGUCCCGUGUCCUGUGUCCCAGGCGGUGCUGUCACAGUCCCAUGUCCCAUGUCCCAUGUCCCGUGUCCCGUGUCCCAGGCGCUGCUGUCACAGUCCCAUGUCCCGUGUCCCAGGCGGUGCUGUCACAGUCCCAUGUCCCAUGUCCCAUGUCCCGUGUCCCGUGUCCCA